UAGUGGGGCGGUAUGUCUCAAGGUGGAACUGUCACGAGUCCUAAGUGCCAGGCUGCCCACUGCAUGGCUCAGGAUUUCAGAGUGACUCAGACUGUGACGUUUCUUCACUGUGACCAUGAGCUUUGCUGUUGACCAAACCUGAUGGCCUUGGUGGAAGUGACAUGGAAAUAAGACAGAAGACAGGCAUCUCCGGAAGUAGAAUUGUUCUGUUAAUCAGAACAGUUGCAGAGAACAGGGACUUUAGGGAUGGGAGAUUCCACGUGCAGGAUUUCCUAUUAGUUCACCUUGGAAUAUGUAAGCCUUCUUGACUCUGUAGUUCUGGGAUGACUUGAUGCUGGUUACAGUAUCGCUCAUAGCCCUUAUAGUACCCUGUGAUCUUUGAGUAAUGGCUUCCACAACUCUUAUCAAAGGCAUGUGGUGCUUCAGUGAUAAUGGCCACCUCUGCAAGUCUUAUCCAGACCGCGCUGGAAACUUUGUGCAAUCUCUCAUACGCCUCACUAAGAGAAUUCAUGCUAAGACUCUGAACACACACACACACACACACAUACACACACACACACACACGCCUAGCUUCCAGCCACAGCCUCACUUCAACUUCUGGUCUGUGCUCUCUUCUAGCAUGUGAUUCUUUCCCUCGUGGGCUGCCCCUGCCUUCCGCAUGUGUCAUCAGCACCGUGGAGAGCUGGACUAGAGAAGAGUCAUCCUUGAUGUAUAAGAAGUCCUAGCUAAGAAAGCCUAUGAGGGGGCAGGAGAGGAAAGACAGACAGACAGACAGGGUCUGCUGGUAAGGGAGUGACAGGCAUUCAGGCUAAAUGGCAAGGCCGGAGGCACGAACUCACUCACGAGACAGCAAAGGAUCUGAGACAAGCUUUCCAGAGGACACCGCCAGCCACUCCCCAGAAGACAAGGGGACAGGCUGUAGGUAAGAGCAAACUGGGACUCUGGGGCCUUCUUUCUCUGAUCUAACCAUAGCUGCUUCUUGGCUCAUCAAGAGGAAUGCAGUGGACAGAGUGGACUUUUGACACAGCGGAAAAGAUCCGUCAGAGGCUGUAGACCAAGUCCUAGCUCCAGAAUGGAGCUACAGCUGUGAUCUUAGGCGAGCCACUAUUUCCCCCCUAAAGCGAGCUAAUAAUAAAGCAGUGUUUUGUGUCUUUU
rnacentral:lncRNA from 1 species